rnacentral:rRNA from 1 species
GACGAACGCUGGCGGCGUGCUUAACACAUGCAAGUCGAACGGAAAGGCCCUGCUUUUGUGGGGUGCUCGAGUGGCGAACGGGUGAGUAACACGUGAGUAACCUGCCCUUGACUUUGGGAUAACUUCAGGAAACUGGGGCUAAUACCGGAUAGGAGCUCCUGCUGCAUGGUGGGGGUUGGAAAGUUUCGGCGGUUGGGGAUGGACUCGCGGCUUAUCAGCUUGUUGGUGGGGUAGUGGCUUACCAAGGCUUUGACGGGUAGCCGGCCUGAGAGGGUGACCGGCCACAUUGGGACUGAGAUACGGCCCAGACUCCUACGGGAGGCAGCAGUGGGGAAUAUUGCACAAUGGGCGGAAGCCUGAUGCAGCAACGCCGCGUGCGGGAUGAAGGCCUUCGGGUUGUAAAACGCUUUCGCCUGUGACGAAGCGUGAGUGACGGUAAUGGGUAAAGAAGCACCGGCUAACUACGUG